CAUCGGUACCCCGCAAGGGGGUGGAGUCGAGGUGCUGCAUGGCUGUCGUCAGCUCGUGUCGUGAGAUGUUGGGUUAAGUCCCGCAACGAGCGCAACCCUUGUCCUGUGUUGCCAUGCCGAAAGGCGGAACUCGCAGGAGACCGCCAGCGAUAAGCUGGAGGAAGGUGGGGAUGACGUCAAGUCCUCAUGGCCUUUAUGUCCAGGGCUACACACGUGCUACAAUGGACGGUACAAAGCGUCGCUAACCUGCGAAGGGGAGCCAAUCGCAAAAAACCGUUCUCAGUUCGGAUUGCAGGCUGCAACUCGCCUGCAUGAAGCUGGAAUCGCUAGUAAUGGCAGAUCAGCACGCUGCCGUGAAUACGUUCCCGGGCCUUGUACACACCGCCCGUCACAUCACGAAAGUGGAUUGUACUAGAAGUCUGCAGGCUGACCCGCAAGGGGGGCAGCGGCCCAAGGUAUGAUCCAUGAUUGGGGUGAAGUCGUAACAAGGUAGCCGUAA
rnacentral:rRNA from 1 species